ensembl:lncRNA
ACGCAAUAUAAUUUAUACCAGAUCUUGGAGUCUUAAAGGCCUGAAUAAUUUACAUUGAUGUACAUUUACUUUUGACAGGCUGAUGAAAAACAUGAACUGCAUCUGAAGAUAAUGCUGGUUCAAUUAUUCUUGCCCAUACAGCUCCAACAUUAAAAACUCAUGAGAAGUCAUAAAAGGAAAAAAAAAGAACAAUAACAACAACAACAACAAACAAAUUUAAGAACUCACAAAAUAAAUUUCGGUUUAUUGUCGCACAACAAAUUUCACACAUACAUCAAACAGGCCACAAAUAGAUAGCAAUUUAACAGACAAGAAAGAAAAGAAGAAAAUUCUUUUCUUUUGGCCUUGCCCUCUCAUACAAUCCAACUACGUAUGAUACAACUGAUGUACAUACACAAAGUUACUGGAAUGCUUUGAAUUAAUGUUUUUUUUUUCAUGGUUUUCUGCAAUUUUUAAUUCCUUUUUUUGCGUAGUUUUUUACAAGUUUCUUUUGAGAUAACAUGACAUGGUCAAACCACAAGUAAAAUCUAUUUCAUAGAGAAGCAUCAACUUCAAAGCACCGUUUUGUAACCAGAGAUCACUGUCAAAAAUGGCUGACCUCCUAACAAUAUGUACAAAAAUAUAAAAUGUAAAUAAAAAUACAAACAAAUUUUUCCUUUUAAAGUAUUUUGUAAGAAGGUAGAGCUUUGAAGUCUUGGUUGUUUCUACAAAAUCUGCAGUUAGGUGUGUGUACACGGAUGCUGGACUCUACUUGAUGAUGACCAUGUUUUUCCUCCCCCAGUGGACGAGUUAAGGAAAGGAGGGAUGAGAAGAUUUCCAGCAGAGUAGCUUCUUACACAUCAGUCUUUUGCUUCUUGGUUUCAACAUCAUCCUAAAAACAGUGGCCAAACAGAGUUAAAACACUACAGUUUGUACGGUCAGACUUACACACGUAUGUAAGGAUUUCACUGCAUAGUAGAAAUUACCUCAUCAUCAUCAUCAUCAUCCUCGGCCGCUCUUUUUCCUGUGCCACCCUCAGCCUCAUCAUCAUCUUCAUCAUCAUCAUCAUCACCUGCCUUGCCUUCUCCAUCAUCUUCCUCAUCCUCUUCAGCCACCUCAUCAUCCUCCUCAUCUACUUCAUUUUCUGGAUCGCCAUUCUCCUCGUUUUCCUAAAAUAUAAAACAUUAUGAGUUAUCAUGGGUAGCACCUGAGUUCAUUUGGAAACUAUUACAAGCAGUACUGGGCAAUGAAAAGAGAAAAGUUGUGGAAACUAACCGCAUUUCCAUUAGCAGGGGCAUCCUUUCCGUUUUCUGCCUCCUCAACCUGCUUCUUUUCUUUAAGGUCCUAAGUGAAGAAAAAUAUGGCUUUGUAAUUGCUUCAGUUACUUAUCUGAUGUAGGAAAUUAAACUAGACCGAU